UGGGGAAUAUUGCACAAUGGGCGCAAGCCUGAUGCAGCCAUGCCGCAUGUAUGAAGAAGGCCUUCGGGUUGUAAAGUACUUUCAGCGAGGCGGAAGGCGGUAAGGUUAAUAACCUUAUCGAUUGACGUUACUCGCAGAAGAAGCACCGGCUAACUCCGUGCCAGCAGCCGCGGUAAUACGGAGGGUGCAAGCGUUAAUCGGAAUUACUGGGCGUAAAGCGCACGCAGGCGGUCUGUCAAGUCGGAUGUGAAAUCCCCGGGCUCAACCUGGGAACUGCAUUCGAAACUGGCAGGCUAGAGUCUUGUAGAGGGGGGUAGAAUUCCAGGUGUAGCGGUGAAAUGCGUAGAGAUCUGGAGGAAUACCGGUGGCGAAGGCGGCCCCCUGGACAAAGACUGACGCUCAGGUGCGAAAGCGUGGGGAGCAAACA
rnacentral:rRNA from 1 species